AGGCACUUGGUUUAUGCAUGGGGCAAAUAAUUAAAGUUUUUAGCGGAGUUGAUUCCUAAAGGGCCAAAUUAGUGAUGAAUAUAUAUAAAAGUAUAUAAAGUUUUAAUUCAAUUAUGAUUUAUGUUUCAUUCAACCACAGGCAUUGCUACACAAUAUUUCCCAAGAGUUUAUUUAAAAAAAAUGUUAUAACAGGAAACAAAUAGGUUGAGAAUAAUGUUGAUAUGAGCACUAAAUCCUUAAUUUUACAUCAUGAGUUCAAAUGUUGAGUUCUGAAAGAAAUCAGGGGUAAUUAAAUUAUUCAAAUUACUCUGAACUCAUUAUGUGUGACUUUGAGGAUUUUGUUCACAGACACAUUUAUUAGCAAAAGUUGAAAUGUAGGGCAGAUAGUUACAUCAGGAUUAUUUUAAUUGUCAGGUCAAAGAAAUUUGCAAGAAGGUAUCAGGUUGGAUGUUUACUCAGGUUUAAACACACAUUUCCCUACAACAUAACAGACUAACACUUACCAAAGAAAAGAUACAGUAUAAACAACAGAAAAUUAAAAUAAGAUUAGUACAACAUCACAUCAAAUAUAAAUUAAUUUAUCCUAAAAAUAUUAACAAAGAAUCAAAACACCAUGCAAACAUGGAACAAAUGACAGUUGAAAAUAUUCAGGACCAUUUCUGAGAAUUUUGUAUAAACCACCAUUUUCUACAUAAGAAAAUUCUUUACCAAGUCAGGAAUAUGACAGUUGUUAUCCAUUCAUUUGAUGUGUUUGGGCUUUUGAUUUUGCUAUUUGAUUAAGGACUUUCCUUUUUGAAUUUUCCUGGGAGUACAGUAUUUUUGUGAUUUUACUUUUUAAGAUAAAGAUUAAAAGAUAUAAAUCUGAUUACAAUUAUUUUUGUUUAUUAGUUAAUUUUAUAAUCUCAUUUUUUAAAGUGUUAUGACAUUUAUCAUAAUUAUCUUAAUAUUCU
rnacentral:lncRNA from 1 species